rfam:Schistosoma haematobium scaffold799_7, whole genome shotgun sequence.
AUCCAGCUGACGAGUCCAAAAUAGGGCGAAACGCACGUCCUGCUU